rnacentral:rRNA from 1 species
UGGGGAAUUUUGGACAAUGGGCGCAAGCCUGAUCCAGCCAUGCCGCGUGCGGGAAGAAGGCCUUCGGGUUGUAAACCGCUUUUGUCAGGGAAGAAAUCUUCUGAGUUAAUACCUCGGGAGGAUGACGGUACCUGAAGAAUAAGAACCGGCUAACUACGUGCCAGCAGCCGCGGUAAUACGUAGGGUGCAAGCGUUAAUCGGAAUUACUGGGCGUAAAGCGUGCGCAGGCGGUUUUGUAAGACAGAGGUGAAAUCCCCGGGCUCAACCUGGGAACUGCCUUUGUGACUGCAAGGCUUGAGUGCGGCAGAGGGGGGAUGGAAUUCCGCGUGUAGCAGUGAAAUGCGUAGAUAUGCGGAGGAACACCGAUGGCGAAGGCAAUCCCCUGGGCCUGCACUGACGCUCAUGCACGAAAGCGUGGGGA